GACGAACGCUGGCGGCGUGCCUAACACAUGCAAGUCGAGCGAGUGAAUCUCCUUCGGGAGUGAAGCUAGCGGCGGACGGGUGAGUAACACGUGGGCAACCUGCCUCAUAGAGGGGAAUAGCCUUCCGAAAGGAAGAUUAAUACCGCAUAAGAUUGUAGCUUCGCAUGAAGUAGCAAUUAAAGGAGCAAUCCGCUAUGAGAUGGGCCCGCGGCGCAUUAGCUAGUUGGUGAGGUAACGGCUCACCAAGGCGACGAUGCGUAGCCGACCUGAGAGGGUGAUCGGCCACAUUGGGACUGCGACACGGCCCAGACUCCUACGGGAGGCAGCAGUGGGGAAUAUUGCACAAUGGGGGAAACCCUGAUGCAGCAACGCCGCGUGAGUGAUGACGGCCUUCGGGUUGUAAAGCUCUGUCUUCAGGGACGAUAAUGACGGUACCUGAGGAGGAAGCCACGGCUAACUACGUGCCAGCAGCCGCAGUAAUAC
rnacentral:rRNA from 1 species